CCCGCACAAGCGGUGGAGCAUGUGGUUUUAAUUCGAAGCAACGCGCAGAACCUUACCAGCCCUUGACAUACCGGUCGCGGACACAGAGAUGUGUCUUUCAGUUCGGCUGGACCGGAUACAGGUGCUGCAUGGCUGUCGUCAGCUCGUGUCGUGAGAUGUUGGGUUAAGUCCCGCAACGAGCGCAACCCUCGCCCUUAGUUGCCAGCAUUUAGUUGGGCACUCUAAGGGGACUGCCGGUGAUAAGCCGAGAGGAAGGUGGGGAUGACGUCAAGUCCUCAUGGCCCUUACGGGCUGGGCUACACACGUGCUACAAUGGUGGUGACAGUGGGCAGCGAGCACGCGAGUGUGAGCUAAUCUCCAAAAGCCAUCUCAGUUCGGAUUGCACUCUGCAACUCGAGUGCAUGAAGUUGGAAUCGCUAGUAAUCGCGGAUCCAGCAUAGACCGCGGUGAAUACGUUCCCGGGCCGUU
rnacentral:rRNA from 1 species